GACGAACGCUGGCGGCGUGCUUAACACAUGCAAGUCGAACGGAAAGGCCCUGCUUUUGUGGGUUUCUCGAGUGGCGAACGGGUGAGUAACACGUGAGUAACCUGCCCUUGACUUUGGGAUAACUUCAGGAAACUGGGGCUAAUACCGGAUAGGAUCUCCUGCUGCAUGGUGGGCGUUGGAAAGUUUCGGCGGUUGGGUAUGGACUCGCGGCUUAUCAGCUUGUUGGUGUGGUAGUGGAUUACCAAGGCUUUGACGGGUAGCCGGCCUGAGAGGGUGACCGGCCACAGUGGGACUGAGAUACGGGCCAGAGGGAUACGGGAGGAAGGAGUGGGGAAUAGUGCACAAUGGGCGGAAGGAGGAUGGAGGAACGCCGGGUGGGGGAUGACGGCCUUUGGGGUGGAAAAAGCGUGUGCGUGAGAAGAAGCGUGAGUGAGGGUAAUGGGCAAAGAAACACCGGCUAAUUACGU
rnacentral:rRNA from 1 species